GACGAACGCUGGCGGCGUGCUUAACACAUGCAAGUCGAACGGGAUUUCGUAAACAGAAGCCUCGGUGGAAGAUUACUAAUGAGAGUGGCGAACGGGUGAGUAACGCGUGAGCAACCUGCCUAUGACAGUGGGAUAGCCUCGGGAAACCGGGAUUAAUACCGCAUAAAAUCGUAGAAACACAUGUUUUAACGGUCAAAGAUUUAUCGGUCAUAGAUGGGCUCGCGUCUGAUUAGCUAGUUGGUGAGAUAACAGCCCACCAAGGCGACGAUCAGUAGCCGGUCUGAGAGGAUGAACGGCCACAUUGGAACUGAGACACGGUCCAAACUCCUACGGGAGGCAGCAGUGGGGAAUAUUGCACAAUGGGGGAAACCCUGAUGCAGCGACGCCGCGUGAACGAAGAAGGUAUUCGUAUCGUAAAGUUCUGUCUUAUGGGAAGAUAAUGACAGUACCAUAGAAGAAAGCUCCGGCUAAAUACGUG
rnacentral:rRNA from 1 species